rnacentral:rRNA from 1 species
GAUGAACGCUGGCGGCGUGCUUAACACAUGCAAGUCGAACGAUGAAGCCGGAGCUUGCUCUGGUGAAUUAGUGGCGAACGGGUGAGUAACACGUGAGUAACCUGCCCUUGACUCUGGGAUAACUGCUAGAAAUGGUAGCUAAUACCGGAUACGACCCUCGGAGGCAUCUCCAGGGGGUGGAAAGAAUUUCGGUCAAGGAUGGACUCGCGGCCUAUCAGCUAGUUGGUGAGGUAACGGCUCACCGAGGCGACGACGGGUAGCCGGCCUGAGAGGGUGACCGGCCACACUGGGACUGAGACACGGCCCAGACUACUACGGGAGGCAGCAGUGGGGAAUAUUGCACAAUGGGCGCAAGCCUGAUGCAGCAACGCCGCGUGAGGGAUGACGGCCUUCGGGUUGUAAACCUCUUUUAGUAGGGAAGAAGCGAAAGUGGCGGUACCUGCAGAAAAAGCACCGGCUAACUACGUGCCAGCCGCCGCCGUAA